UACCAGCACCCCGAGUGGUCGGGACGUUUAUUGGGCCUAAAGCAUCCGUAGCCGGUUCUGCAAGUCUUCCGUUAAAUCCACCUGCUUAACAGAUGGGCCGCGGAAGAUACUAUAGAGCUAGGAGGCAGGAGAGGCAAGCGGUACUCAGUGGGUAGGGGUAAAAUCCGUUGAUCCAUUGAAGACCACCAGUGGCGAAGGCGGCUUGCCAGAAUGCGCUCGACGGUGAGGGAUGAAAGCUGGGGGAGCAAACCGG
rnacentral:rRNA from 1 species